rnacentral:lncRNA from 1 species
AUUACAAUCAGAUUGCAAGAAACAGUAGCCACAAAGGAGAUGCCAUCCAUCCUCCUGACCUCACUCUUCAAACUGUGGCCUUUGAAAUUCUGCAGUCCCUGGGAAUGUUGCUAAACAAAAUGUGGCAGAAUCAUCCACCAUCACAGGAGCUACAGUCUUCAAAGGAGGUUCAGAAAGAAGGAUCAGGAUAACCUAACACAGUGUCUCUCCUAAUGUCCUGACCUGAGUGUAUGCGACCCUGGGGAGUUAGAAGCACAUCCCAGAACCCCUGACUUGUCUGCUUCCUAAAAAACUGUGAAGGACUAGCUAA